rnacentral:rRNA from 1 species
GAACGGUAGCACAGAGAGCUUGCUCUCGGGUGACGAGUGGCGGACGGGUGGGUAAUGUCUGGGAAACUGCCCGAUGGAGGGGGAUAACUACUGGAAACGGUAGCUAAUACCGCAUAACGUCUUCGGACCAAAGUGGGGGACCUUCGGGCCUCACACCAUCGGAUGUGCCCAGAUGGGAUUAGCUAGUAGGUGGGGUAAUGGCUCACCUAGGCGACGAUCCCUAGCUGGUCUGAGAGGAUGACCAGCCACACUGGAACUGAGACACGGUCCAGACUCCUACGGGAGGCAGCAGUGGGGAAUAUUGCACAAUGGGCGCAAGCCUGAUGCAGCCAUGCCGCGUGUAUGAAGAAGGCCUUCGGGUUGUAAAGUACUUUCAGCGGGGAGGAAGGCGAUGAGGUUAAUAACCUUAUCGAUUGACGUUACCCGCAGAAGAAGCACCGGCUAACUCCGUG